CCGUAACCAUUUCCGUCGCCGUUCUCAACUGGAGCUGAAUCGAAGGGAGUGGAGUGGGAGUAGUUGGAGCCGGGACCGUCGAAUCCGAAAACAUCCGGGGAGUCAGGGGCGGCGGUGGCGGCGCCGUGGUCGGUGUAGGAGCCGUAGUCGGCGUAGCUCUCGACGACGACUUCGUCCUGGUCAAAUUGGCUGUUAGGGGCAUGAAGAUCGUCGCCGUCCACGCUGAAAGCGUCGAAGGAAGCCAUUUUUGGCGGCGGUGAUUUCUGUCUCUCUCUGUCUGAAGAGGAUUU
rnacentral:lncRNA from 1 species